rnacentral:rRNA from 1 species
CAUGUAGGCGGUUGAACAAGUCAUGUGUUAAAGCCCCCGGCUCAACUGGGGGAGGUCAUGUGAGACUGUUUGACUUGAGGGCAGCAGAGGUAGGUGGAACUCCCGGUGUAGCGGUGGAAUGCGUAGAGAUCGGGAAGAACACCUGUGGCGAAGGCGACCUACUGGGCUGCGACUGACGCUGAGAUGCGAAAGUGUGGGGAGCAAACG